UUAGCCAAAAAUUACCAUAACAAAUCUGCUGUUCCAAUUAGCUGGUACAUGAAAAGCCUAGUUAAAAUUUGGCUUGGAACUUUUUAUUAAGACUAGGUGAGAUUAUAGGAUAUAUAUAUUGCAUCGAACUGAGCACAGAAAGUCAACACCAGAACAAAAGUAUGCCAAAUUGCAGGGUUUAUUGCCGGCGACCACGGAGGACUCACGUCUCUCCAACCCGUGGCAGAGAAAGAAGGGUGACAAGACCUUUUUAUACCGGACACUGAGGAUAUAAGGUUUCUUCUUCUUAGCAAGGUGGCAGUCCAUUAUCACUGCAAAUAAAGACAAAUUGAGACUUGAUAAUUUACAAAGGUAAGAGGUUUAAUCGACUCACAGUUCAGCAUGACUAGGGAGGCCUCAGAAAACUUAUAAUCCUGGUGGAAGGGGA
rnacentral:lncRNA from 1 species